rnacentral:rRNA from 2 species
AGCGUACACGGUGGAUGCCCUGGCAGUCAGAGGCGAUGAAGGACGUGCUAAUCUGCGAUAAGCGUCGGUAAGGUGAUAUGAACCGUUAUAACCGGCGAUUUCCGAAUGGGGAAACCCAGUGUGAUUCGUCACACUAUCAUUAACUGAAUCCAUAGGUUAAUGAGGCGAACCGGGGGAACUGAAACAUCUAAGUACCCCGAGGAAAAGAAAUCAACCGAGAUUCCCCCAGUAGCGGCGAGCGAACGGGGAGCAGCCCAGAGCCUGAAUCAGUGUGUGUGUUAGUGGAAGCGUCUGGAAAGGCGUGCGAUACAGGGUGACAGCCCCGUACACAAAAAUGCACAUGCUGUGAGCUCGAUGAGUAGGGCGGGACACGUGGUAUCCUGUCUGAAUAUGGGGGGACCAUCCUCCAAGGCUAAAUACUCCUGACUGACCGAUAGUGAACCAGUACCGUGAGGGAAAGGCGAAAAGAACCCCGGCGAGGGGAGUGAAAAAGAACCUGAAACCGUGUACGUACAAGCAGUGGGAGCACAGAGCAAUCUGUGUGACUGCGUACCUUUUGUAUAAUGGGUCAGCGACUUAUAUUCUGUAGCAAGGUUAACCGAAUAGGGGAGCCGAAGGGAAACCGAGUCUUAACUGGGCGUUAAGUUGCAGGGUAUAGACCCGAAACCCGGUGAUCUAGCCAUGGGCAGGUUGAAGGUUGGGUAACACUAACUGGAGGACCGAACCGACUAAUGUUGAAAAAUUAGCGGAUGACUUGUGGCUGGGGGUGAAAGGCCAAUCAAACCGGGAGAUAGCUGGUUCUCCCCGAAAGCUAUUUAGGUAGCGCCUCGUGAAUUCAUCUCCGGGGGUAGAGCACUGUUUCGGCAAGGGGGUCAUCCCGACUUACCAACCCGAUGCAAACUGCGAAUACCGGAGAAUGUUAUCACGGGAGACACACGGCGGGUGCUAACGUCCGUCGUGAAGAGGGAAACAACCCAGACCGCCAGCUAAGGUCCCAAAGUCAUGGUUAAGUGGGAAACGAUGUGGGAAGGCCCAGACAGCCAGGAUGUUGGCUUAGAAGCAGCCAUCAUUUAAAGAAAGCGUAAUAGCUCACUGGUCGAGUCGGCCUGCGCGGAAGAUGUAACGGGGCUAAACCAUGCACCGAAGCUGCGGCAGCGACGCUUAUGCGUUGUUGGGUAGGGGAGCGUUCUGUAAGCCUGCGAAGGUGUGCUGUGAGGCAUGCUGGAGGUAUCAGAAGUGCGAAUGCUGACAUAAGUAACGAUAAAGCGGGUGAAAAGCCCGCUCGCCGGAAGACCAAGGGUUCCUGUCCAACGUUAAUCGGGGCAGGGUGAGUCGACCCCUAAGGCGAGGCCGAAAGGCGUAGUCGAUGGGAAACAGGUUAAUAUUCCUGUACUUGGUGUUACUGCGAAGGGGGGACGGAGAAGGCUAUGUUGGCCGGGCGACGGUUGUCCCGGUUUAAGCGUGUAGGCUGGUUUUCCAGGCAAAUCCGGAAAACUAAGGCUGAGGCGUGAUGACGAGGCACUACGGUGCUGAAGCAACAAAUGCCCUGCUUCCAGGAAAAGCCUCUAAGCAUCAGGUAACAUCAAAUCGUACCCCAAACCGACACAGGUGGUCAGGUAGAGAAUACCAAGGCGCUUGAGAGAACUCGGGUGAAGGAACUAGGCAAAAUGGUGCCGUAACUUCGGGAGAAGGCACGCUGAUAUGUAGGUGAAGCGACUUGCUCGUGGAGCUGAAAUCAGUCGAAGAUACCAGCUGGCUGCAACUGUUUAUUAAAAACACAGCACUGUGCAAACACGAAAGUGGACGUAUACGGUGUGACGCCUGCCCGGUGCCGGAAGGUUAAUUGAUGGGGUCAGCGCAAGCGAAGCUCUUGAUCGAAGCCCCGGUAAACGGCGGCCGUAACUAUAACGGUCCUAAGGUAGCGAAAUUCCUUGUCGGGUAAGUUCCGACCUGCACGAAUGGCGUAAUGAUGGCCAGGCUGUCUCCACCCGAGACUCAGUGAAAUUGAACUCGCUGUGAAGAUGCAGUGUACCCGCGGCAAGACGGAAAGACCCCGUGAACCUUUACUAUAGCUUGACACUGAACAUUGAGCCUUGAUGUGUAGGAUAGGUGGGAGGCUUUGAAGUGUGGACGCCAGUCUGCAUGGAGCCGACCUUGAAAUACCACCCUUUAAUGUUUGAUGUUCUAACGUUGACCCGUGAUCCGGGUUGCGGACAGUGUCUGGUGGGUAGUUUGACUGGGGCGGUCUCCUCCUAAAGAGUAACGGAGGAGCACGAAGGUUGGCUAAUCCUGGUCGGACAUCAGGAGGUUAGUGCAAUGGCAUAAGCCAGCUUGACUGCGAGCGUGACGGCGCGAGCAGGUGCGAAAGCAGGUCAUAGUGAUCCGGUGGUUCUGAAUGGAAGGGCCAUCGCUCAACGGAUAAAAGGUACUCCGGGGAUAACAGGCUGAUACCGCCCAAGAGUUCAUAUCGACGGCGGUGUUUGGCACCUCGAUGUCGGCUCAUCACAUCCUGGGGCUGAAGUAGGUCCCAAGGGUAUGGCUGUUCGCCAUUUAAAGUGGUACGCGAGCUGGGUUUAGAACGUCGUGAGACAGUUCGGUCCCUAUCUGCCGUGGGCGCUGGAGAACUGAGGGGGGCUGCUCCUAGUACGAGAGGACCGGAGUGGACGCAUCACUGGUGUUCGGGUUGUCAUGCCAAUGGCACUGCCCGGUAGCUAAAUGCGGAAGAGAUAAGUGCUGAAAGCAUCUAAGCACGAAACUUGCCCCGAGAUGAGUUCUCCCUGACUCCUUGA